GAUGAAGAACGUAGCGAAAUGCGAUAAGUAAUGCGAAUUGCAGAAUCCGUGAGUCAUCGAAUCUUUGAACGCACAUUGCGCCCUCUGGUAUUCCGGAGGGCAUGCCUGUUCGAGCGUCAUUAUCACCCCUCAAGCCCGGCUUGUUGUUGGAUGCAGCGCUUAUCCCGCUCCUCCCAAAGAUAAUGACGGCGUCUGCGACGACUCCUGUACACUGAGCUUUCGGGCACGUACACGGCUAGAAGUCCAGACCCGGUCGCCGUCCCCCCCGCGGGGACACCCAUUACCACACGGUUGACCUCGGAUCAGGUAGGAAUACCCGCUGAACUUAAGCAUAUCAAUAAGCGGAGGA
rnacentral:misc_RNA from 1 species